ensembl:snoRNA
GUGCACAUUUCAUUUUAUUUCUUUAUGUCAAGAGAAAAGAUGUUUCUGAUGUGCUAACUAAACCUCUGGAGGUAAAUUAGCAGCAUGACUAAUUUAGACAUUGCUAUCAGACACCAUCAGACAAAG